UAAACAGUAUUGACAGGAAAUAGUAGUAGUUUGUUUUUCAGUAGAGAGUCGGUGGUUGGUGGAAAUCGAUGUAAAACAGCUAUGAAUCCAUCCUUGAACUGGUUUAUCGAACACUUUGAUAGAGUAAAUAAACCCGGUUACGUGCCGUUAUCACGAUAAGCUGGAAGAGUGCAGUGAUGUGUUCUUCAAUCAGGGUGGCAACGCGGGUAAAGCUCUCGUCCCUAAU
rnacentral:ncRNA from 1 species